UACGGAGGGUGCAAGCGUUGUUCGGAUUUAUUGGGCGUAAAGCGCGUGUAGGCGGUCUUCUAAGUCUGAUGUGAAAGCCCUGGGCUCAACCCAGGAAGUGCAUUGGAUACUGGAAGACUUGAAUACGGGAGAGGGUAGUGGAAUUCCUAGUGUAGGAGUGAAAUCCGUAGAUAUUAGGAGGAACACCGGUGGCGAAGGCGGCUACCUGGACCGAUAUUGACGCUGAGACGCGAAAGCUAGGGGAGCAAACGGG
rnacentral:rRNA from 1 species